rnacentral:rRNA from 1 species
AAACCAACCGGGAUUGCCUUAGUAACGGCGAGUGAAGCGGCAAAAGCUCAAAUUUGAAAUCUGGUACCUUCGGUGCCCGAGUUGUAAUUUGGAGAGGGCAACUUUGGGGCCGUUCCUUGUCUAUGUUCCUUGGAACAGGACGUCAUAGAGGGUGAGAAUCCCGUGUGGCGAGGAGUGCGGUUCUUUGUAAAGUGCCUUCGAAGAGUCGAGUUGUUUGGGAAUGCAGCUCUAAGUGGGUGGUAAAUUCCAUCUAAAGCUAAAUAUUGGCGAGAGACCGAUAGCGAACAAGUACAGUGAUGGAAAGAUGAAAAGAACUUUGAAAAGAGAGUGAAAAAGUACGUGAAAUUGUUGAAAGGGAAGGGCAUUUGAUCAGACAUGGUGUUUUGUGCCCUCUGCUCCUUGUGGGUAGGGGAAUCUCGCAUUUCACUGGGCCAGCAUCAGUUUUGGUGGCAGGAUAAAUCCAUAGGAAUGUAGCUUGCCUCGGUAAGUAUUAUAGCCUGUGGGAAUACUGCCAGCUGGGACUGAGGACUGCGACGUAAGUCAAGGAUGCUGGCAUAAUGGUUAUAUGCCGCCCGUCUUGAA